rnacentral:lncRNA from 1 species
AAAUAUUUUCACCUAAAUGCUCUCUAUACCAGAAACUUUGUAUGAGUGAUCAUCUCCGAGUGUCAUGGUCCCCUCAUCAAUCUUGGUGUAUGUCACGAACCAAGAUCGGUUUGGGAUGUAGUGAUGUGAACAAGCUGAAUCUAGAGUCCAUACAUCUGUGUAUCAUCUGUGACCAUCAGAUACCACCAAGAGGUCAUCCUCCACCUCC